rnacentral:lncRNA from 1 species
CAUCUCUUGCAGGAAGAUGCUGCUGCCUGGUAUUGCAGCAGUCAAUGGGCUGCCUAGUCAACCUCAGCCCCUGAUGAGUGCAGACCCAGUAGCCAGGCACAACUGUCAUUGCAUGACCAGCUCUCCUGGAGCUAGCUGCUGCCUGCACACAAAAUUUCCUCUUCCCAGCAGGUGGCGGCAGCAACAACACAGGAAACAGACGCCCUGGCUCAGGUUCCUGUUCUCCCAAAAGAGCUGCCCCUGGCCAUGGCUUCUGGGAAUUCAGCGCCUCCUGCGCUGGGCACCUAGGCCCAGGGAGACCUCCCUGGAUUGCCCCUUAGUGGGUCCCUCCGCUCCAGUCCAAGCAGCUCCUAUGGAGGCCCCGCCCCACGACUUCUCUGACACCAGCUCCUGCCCACUGCUAGUCCCCUCAGGUCCCUGGCUCUCCGGGUUCUUUGCUGAGAGCGCGCCAGAGCCCAGGUCUCCCUCAGGACCCUGGGAGAAGGCCAGGAGGCCCAGAGGGCAGCCCAAGCCGCUUGGAACUCGCUCCUUGAAACAAGAUCCUCCCCCACAGCGAGGCCUCCUGGGAAGGAGGCUUGAGUGGCGCAGGGCGUCUUGAAACUGGUUCCGCACGGUGGCGGUAGAGCUCCAGCUAUGGCCAGCAGCCCUGGGCCUGAGCGCGCCUCUCCCGCCCUGGCUGUCUGAAAAAACGCCACCCAGACAAAGGCACCAGGCAACAUGGCCGCCCUGUCCUUUGCCCAGUUCUAGGAAGCAGCUCCCGAUGCUGCUUUUGCUUUUUCAGUAUUUGUGGCGUUUGGUUCACGAUGUUUGCCUCUGUCGUGAUUCUGCCCGAGACAGGCUUUGCCGUGUUGCCCAGGACCAGCUGGAAAUCGUGGUGCCAGUGCAGCAGCUUCCAGCUCCUCUCUCCUGUUGUUUUCCAUCUGAACUCUGACCAAGGCCUGAGUGCCAUCCUCCCCUGGGCCUCCCCUCUCUCUGGUGGAACGUUCAGGGAGGCCCUGCUCAUUCAGUCUGUUCUGAGUUGAACUGCACCCAGUCUUCCUCCCUCUGUAGUUUGUGAGUGCUCAGACCAGGUGAGAGAAAUGACACGGUUCGGUUUGUUUUUUACUCUUUUUAGGACACAAGAAGUUGGGAAUCCAACGUGUCAAUAUGUAUGUCUUCCAGAGAGCCAAUGUGCACAUGGUGAUGUGUCUUGUCUAGGUUCUGUUGCCAUAACAAAAAUACCUGAAGCUGAGUAUUUUGUAAGAAAUGGACAUUUCCUGUCCUCAUGGUUGUGGAGAUGGGAAAUCUAAGAAUAGGACCUCAGUGUCUGCUGAGCCGUUGGUGGGGGUCUUCUUGCUUAAUCAUAAUGUGGAAGAGGCCAGCACAGAGAGACAGAGGAAGCUUCUUGGAGACACCUGGCUUUUAUAGCAGAGUCACUCCCCACAAAACCUAUGAAUCCAUGAGUGGACUGAUCAGUGCCUGUGCAUGAGGGCAGAGUUCUCAUGAGCCAGUGACCUCCCAGAAAUACUUCAGUUCCCGUUCACACAUAAUUUUGGGAUUAACUUUCCGACAAUGGGUUUCCAGGGCACAACCAUUGAAACCAUACUAUGAAGUGACUUUUAAAGUUGAAUGAAAAUCGCUAGCAUCAUCUACUUUUCUAAAGUGGCCUUAAAAAACGAGUCUGUCACAAGGAGAGAGAGAGGAAGCUUCUUCGAGACACCUGACUGGUGUCCUCCAGCCUGGAUGUUGGUUUAUUUUCAAGUUUCCCCUUUAGAUUUCAGGCAGAGAAUGUUGAGGUAGGGGACUUGGUGUUGUGGUAUUCAUGUAUUUUAUGUCCUCUAGGCUGUGGUGAAUGCAGACAUGGGAAGAAGUGGUCACGUGGAAAGUGAGUUCAAAAAGAGAGAGAGAACAUGAAAAUGGGGUGAGUUGGUUUUUUUUUUUUUUUAAUGUGG